rnacentral:ncRNA from 1 species
UCUUGGACGUGUGGGAUUUGUUACCGGAUUGCGGGCCACGUUAAACACACCGCUAAAGAGGUCAGGACGCAAAGGAA